AGACGAAGCAACGUCGAAGCUCAUGAAAAAUUUCUACAAACACCUUGUUCGUGGAGAAAGUGCCAGUGAAUCUCUUCACCGGGCCGUUCAAUGGUUGAGAAGUAAUGGCUUUCCCAAACCUUUCCAAUGGGCUCCGUUUGUGUUGAUGGGGGAUAACGUGACGUUCGAUUUUACGGAAAGUGGGAAAGAUGAAUUCAAUGAGGACAACAAUGAGCCAGAGAGGGAACAGAAUGAUCACUGAUCCUAUACAAAGAUUCUUCUUCCUGCUCCUUGUCUUAAAAUGGACUCUGGUAUUUCUUUGCAUUGACGUUUUUCGUCUUUUUUUAAAGUCAAGGAAUAGUUUUUGCAUGCUUUUGUAAGCAUGGCUGACUCGAAGGCGUGCAAUAACGAAACCUGCAAUUCAGCUGUUAGAUCUAUUAAGUAUAUCAAUAGGGAGGUAAAAUAACUUGGGAUGGGAAAAUUGAAUGCAGGAAGUUGGCUAUAUGUUUAAAAAUGUGAGAGUGUCAGAAAAGUUUUCACAAACUCAAAAUGAAUUCUUGAUCUACAUAGCUAUGAUCCAGUUUUCAAUUCUCCCGUAGGAUGCAAUUGUGAUAAUCAUCGAAGUGUGAUAAAAACUGUACGCAGGUGUACGAAAACAAAACAAACUAACAGAAGAGGGAACAGAAAGUGCCCAAAUAGUAAAUAAAAAAAAAACAAACUAACAGAAGAGGGAACAGAAAGUGCCCGCAUAGUAAAUAAAACAGUCGAGUAGAAAAGAGGAGAAACAGCGCGCGAAAUAUUAACGCAAGAAAAAAAAAAAAAAA